GCGGCCGCCAUUUCAGGGAGCUUGUCGACGCUGUCGCAGGGGUGGAUCCUGAGCUGCCGAAGCCGCCGUCCUGCUCUCCCGCGUGGGCUUCUCUAAUUCCAUUGUUUUUUUUAGAUUCUCUCGGGCCUAGCCGUCCUUGGAACCCGAUAUUCGGGCUGGGCGGUUCCGCGGCCUGGGCCUAGGGGCUUAACAGUAGCAACAGAAGCGGCGGCGGCGGCAGCAGCAGCAGCAGCAGCAGCAAUCUCUUCCCGAACACGAGCACCACAGGCGCCCGAAGGCCGGAACAGGCGUUUAGAGAAAAUGGCAGACGAUAUUGAUAUUGAAGCAAUGCUUGAGGCUCCUUACAAGAAGACUUGCCUAACGAUAUCUCACCUCUACUCCCAUGAAUUCACCUUUGAUUCCAGUGUGAACUGUCAAUCAUAAGGGCGAGAUGUGUGACAGAGGUGGCAUCAAGCUCUUACAGUCCCAACCCUCCAACGGAAAUGGGCGAAGAUCUCAGGAAUGGCAUCGGUCACAGGAAAUCGAUAGUGGCUGGCUGCUAGCAUGGCCACUUGGGGCUUAGGCAGAAAUAGAGCCAUGGUACUGACCAAAGGGACCAUAGCACAUGGAAUAAAACUCAAAACAGGACUUCAUGUUUUAUGGAAAUUAUAUUUAACCACUUCAACAUUGUAAAUCUGGAUAACUUUUAAUAUCUAAACUAUAUAAGAAAGUAAAAUUUAACAUGUUAAUAUGGAAAAUUUUUUUAUUUUUGUAUCUUGAUGACUUAAAUGUAAGCAACAAAGUGGUUAAACACAUACCCAUCUAAAUUUUUUUAUAGCCUUCCAUGUUAAACUAUAAGUAAAUAAUUAGUUUUAAAAUUGUUUUGUAUU
rnacentral:lncRNA from 1 species